rnacentral:rRNA from 1 species
UACGAAGGGGGCUAGCGUUGCUCGGAAUCACUGGGCGUAAAGCGCGCGUAGGCGGGUCGUUAAGUCGGGGGUGAAAUCCUGGAGCUCAACUCCAGAACUGCCUUUGAUACUGGCGAUCUUGAGUCUGGGAGAGGUGAGUGGAACUCCGAGUGUAGAGGUGAAAUUCGUAGAUAUUCGCAAGAACACCAGUGGCGAAGGCGGCUCACUGGCCCGGUACUGACGCUGAGGUGCGAAAGCGUGGGGAGCAAACAGG